CUCAGAAUACACCAAGUUCCCUUCAGAAUCCACGAAGGUUCUGACCCUCUGACAUCAUGUCAACUCUCCUUGUCAGGCCCUACCUAUGAUCCCUGGGCACCCUCCUUAUUCUGCUCUCAUCAAUGGAAGUUUCCAGCAACCCAGCACACAACAAACCAGACUAACUUUACACCUUGUUCUGAAACAACACUUCUGAUUUACAGAAGAUUAAACCCAAAUAAAAGGACUAACAUUUCAAAGGAAGUAGAAGAAAUGCAAAAUAACUAAAGUGUUGGUUUCUUCACAAGUGAGAAGAGGAUUGGGAUGAGCACUGGGUGUCAUAUGGAAACCAACUUGACAAUAAACUAUUGAAAAAAAAGAGAGAAGAGGGGAACCUUUUUAAAUCCUGCAAUGAACCAAUGUGAAUAGCUUCUGCGACGUGUGGCUUCUGCGACGUGUGGCUCCGAACAGCCAGUCUGAAUAGGCAACCACGGUUAACUUCUGCAAAGGGUACCAGCAUCCCUGCUAUCAGAAGAGAAUCUCCAACUGAAAGUGUGUGAACAACAGCAAGUAUUGCUCUUGUGCCCUUCACCCGGGGACCGCCAUUAUUCUUGACAAGGAACACAGG